rnacentral:pre_miRNA from 1 species
UCUCUUGUGUUAAGGUGCAUCUAGUGCAGUUAGUGAAGUAGCUUCGAAUCUACUGCCCUAAAUGCCCCUUCUCGCACAGGCU